CCGGCGCCAAGGAGGGCGCGGCCACAGGGAGGGGGAACGACCACAGCCACGACGGGACGGGGGAGAGCAAGAGCCCGGAGAGGACGAGACACGAACCAGGCCCACGGGGGCAGCAGGCGCGAAAACACAAGCGGGAAACCGGAAAGGGGACCGAGGCCAGCAAAAGGGCGCCAGAGCCAAAAAGCACGAGCAAGGGCCGGGCAAGACCGGGCCAGCCGCCGCGGAACACCGGCGGCCCGAGGGAACCGCAAGGGCAAAGGGCGAGCCGGCCAGGAAGCCCGGGAAACGGCAGCCAACGCAGGCGCAGGGGAACGGGCGGGACCGGGAGAGGGAGAGGACCGGGGGAGGGGGAAACGGACCCGAGGGACCACCAGGGCGAAGGCGCCACCAGAACGGGCCGACGGAAGGGACGAAAGCAGGGGCACGAACCGGAAGAACCCGGGAGCCAGCCGAAACGAGCCGCAGGGCAGCACGGGCGACCGGAGGGCCGAGGGAAGCCGGAAGCGAGCCACCGGGAAGACGGCCGCAAGGCG
rnacentral:rRNA from 1 species